GCCAACUGAGGUGUGUGAAGGGUAGUGAAGCAUAGAAUCUUGGGUAGAGUUGAUGGAAGACCUGACCCAAUCCGAUAUUCACAGUGACUUGAAAAGUGAUAUUGCUUCUUCCUACUUUGUUUAAUUGUUGUGCGCAUUCUGAUUUGUCCGUCUAGCAAAAGCAAGAAUCUUAUUCCAGGAUAUGAGAGGAAUUUUUCUGACUUGGAUUAGGGGAAUCCACUAUCUCUGUUGUGUUGAGAGACCUUCUUCGCCCUCAUUCUCAUGGAAGAUUCUCAGAUUUUAUUACACUGGUGUUCCUCACUUGUCAAUGUUCAUAGUGAAAACUAAUCAUGUUUUAUAAUUGGGAUUUAUUUGAAUGUUAAUAUACCCACAGGUAGCAGAUGGGGACAUGAAAACAUUGUUUUAACUGGUUAUAUUUGGAGAAUGUAGAAGAAGAUUCUGUUGACUGGAGCACCUGGAAACUUUGGAAUUAGAUACAAUUACAAACAAGGGGAAAAAAUAAUAUGGUGGCAAGAUGCCUGUCCUUGGACAUUGUUUGAAGGCAAGGAAUGGAAUAAGGAAUACAUUCUCUUUUGUCUCCUUCAGUAAGUUUGGUACUUAUUCAGGCCAGAUAGUAUAAAAUAGAAAGAAGAGGGGCCCAAUUCUUUUUUCAUCUUCAAUUGGCACAAGACAGCCGGCGCUGCACCGACGAAUCCUAAGUGUCUGGGACCCAAUGAGAAGGAGAAGGAGAGGGAGAAAAAAUAAAAAAAUAAAAAAAAGGGAAAAAAGAAAAAGGAUCGUACUUGCUUCCAUACUUACAUUUGAUGAAGGACAUGAAAAUUCUCUCCCUGGAGACGACCACCUGCCCUUGACUCCUGCUUCUAUUGGCCCGAUUCUCUUGUAUGAAUCUAUACAUACUAGACCAUAGUUUUUCUAUUUUAUUUUACUUUAGUUCAUUUCCAUUUUAUCUUUAAAGGCAA